UCUAAUAUGGCAGAUUAGUGCAAUGAAUUUAAGCUUCAUAUAUAAAGUUUAAACUUUUAAUGACA
rnacentral:tRNA from 1 species